rnacentral:tRNA from 1 species
GCCUGGGUGGCUCAGUGGUUGAGCAUCUGCCUUCAGCUCAGGAUGCGAUCCCAGGAUCAAAUCCUGCAUUGGGCU